GACGAACGCUGGCGGCGUGCCUAAUACAUGCAAGUUGAGCGCUGAAGGUUGGUACUUGUACCAACUGGAUGAGCAGCGAACGGGUGAGUAACGCGUGGGGAAUCUGCCUUUGAGCGGGGGACAACAUUUGGAAACGAAUGCUAAUACCGCAUAAAAACUUUAAACACAAGUUUUAAGUUUGAAAGAUGCAAUUGCAUCACUCAAAGAUGAUCCCGCGUUGUAUUAGCUAGUUGGUGAGGUAAAGGCUCACCAAGGCGAGGAUACAUAGCCGACCUGAGAGGGUGGUCGGCCGCAUUGGGACGGAGACACGGCCCAAACGCCUACGGGAGGGAGCAGGAGGGAAUCUUCGGCAAUGGACGAAAGUCUGACCGAGCAACGCCGCGUGAGUGAAGAAGGUUUUCGGAUCGUAAAACUCGGUUGGUAGAGAAGAACGUUGGUGAGAGUGGAAAGCUCAUCAAGUGACGGUAACUACCCAGAAAGGGACGGCUAACUACGUG
rnacentral:rRNA from 1 species